CGCAGACUGGACCAGAGGAACACUGGACGGACGGGAGGGACUGUUCCCCACUACCUUCACACGCACCUGUAACACAGCUCAGCCAAUGACGGGCCAGCCUGUGGCCAGGGGCGUGGCCAAGGUCCUGUUUGAUUUCAGUGGAGAGAGAGAAGAUGAGCUCUCACUGAAGGCAGGGGAGGUAGUAACAGAGGUGGUGACAGUAGAUGAGGAGUGGUAUCUGGCGGAUGCAGGAAGUAGACGAGGCCUGGUCCCCAAAAACUACCUGUCACUGCUUCCUGACAGCUGCAAAUAGGACUAUGUGAUAUAUAUAUAUAAACUACAUUGCCAUAAGUAUGUGGAAACCCUUUCAAAUUAGUGGAUUCAGCUAUUUCAGCCACACCCGUUGCUGACAGGUGUGUAAAAUCGAGCGCAACGCUUUGCAAUCUCCAUAGACAAACAUUGGCAGUAGAAUGGCCCGUACUGAAGAGCUCGGUGACUUUCAACGUGGGCACCGUCAUAGGAUGCCACCUGUUUGACAAGUCAGUUGGUCAAGUUUCGUCCGGUCACCUGUAAGUGUUGAUAUUGUGAAGCUCACCUCUUAUUGGACUCUGGAGCAGAGGAAAACGCGUUCUCCGGAGUGAUGAAUCGCGCUUCACCAUCUGGCAUUCUGACGGACGAAUCUGGGUUUGGUGGAUGGCAGGAAAACGCUACCUGCCCCAAUGCGUAGUGCCAACUGUAAAGUUUGGUGGAGGAGGAAUAAUGGUUUGGGCCCCUUAGUUCCAGUGAAGGGAAAUCUUAACGCUAUAGCAGACAGUGACAUUCUAGACGAUUCUGUGCUUCCAACUUUAUGGCAACAGUUUGGGGAAGGUCCUUUCCUGUUUCAGCAUGAAUAUGCCCCCGUGCUCAAAGCGAGUUCCAUACAAAAAUGGCUUGUUGAAAUCAGUGUGGAAGAACUUGACUGGCCUUCACAGUGCCCUGACUUCAACCCAUCAAACACCUUUGGUAUGAAUUGUAAGUCCCUGCAGCAAUGUUCCAACAUUCUAGUGGACAGUCUUCCCAGAAGAGUGGAGGCUGUUUUAACAGCAAAUUGGGGACCAACUCCAUUUUAAUGUCCAUGAUUUUUGAAUGAGAUGUUCGACGAGCAGGUGUCCACAUACUUUUGGUAAUGUAGUGUAUCUUUGAAUAUGUGCCUUCAGAAAAUAUUCAUACCCCUUUCACUUAUUCCAUAUUUUGUGUUACAGCCUGAAUUCAAAGUUGAUUAAAUAGUUUUUUUUUCUCACAGAUCUACACACAAUACCCCAUAAUGACAUCACAAUAACCCAUAAUGACAUCACAAUACCCCAUAAUGACAAAGUGAAAACAUGUUCUUAGAAAUGUUUGCAAAUUUAUUGAAAAAUGAAAUGCAGAAAUAUCUCAUUUACAAUAAGUAUUUACAUCCCUGAGUCAAUACUUUGUAGAAGCACCAUUGACAGUAAGUCUUUCUGGGUAAGAGCUUUCCACACGUGGAUUGUGUAACAUUUGCCCAUUUUUAUAAUUUUCUAAAUUCUUCAAGCUCUGUCAAAUUGGUUGUUGAUCAUUGCUAGACAAAUUUAUUUGAAAAUCUAUAUCAAGAACAGGAUUCGAUCCAAACUGCCACUCAGGAACAUUCUCUGUCUUCUUGGUUAGCAACUCCAGUGUAGAUUUGGCCUUGUGUUUUAGGUUAAUGUCCUGCUGAAAGGUGAUUUCAUCUCCCAGUGUCUGUUGGAAAGCAGACUGAACCAGGUUCUCCUCUAGGAUUUUGCCUGUGCUUAGCUCAAUUCCAUUUAUUUUUUAUCCUGAAAAACUAUCUAGUCCUAAAGGAUUUCAAGCAUACCCAUAACAUGAUGCAGCCACCACCAUGCUUCAAAAUACGAAGCCUGUUACUCAGUGACGUGUUGGAUUUCCCCAAACAUAAUGCUUUGUAUUUCAGAACAAAAAGUUCAUUUCAUUCAUUUUUUGCCGUUUUUAACUAAGUGCCUUGGUUUGGAAUAUUUGUGUUCUGUACAGGCGUCCUUCUUGUCCUUCUUAUUGAGAUUGAAUCUGUGUUUGAAAAUGCACUGCUCAACUGAGGGAUCUUACAGAUAAUUGUAUGUGUGGGGUACAGAGAUGAGGGACCUUACAGAUAAUUGUACGUGUGGGGUACAGAGAUGAGGGACCUUACAGAUAAUUGUAUGUGUGGGGUACAGAGAUGAGGGACCUUACAGAUAAUUGUAUGUGUGGGGUACAGAGAUGAGGAUGUCAUUAAUAAUCAUGUUAAACACCAUUAUUGAACACAGUGAAUCCAUGCAAUUUAUUAUGUGACUUGUUGAGCACAUUUUUACUCCAGAACUUAUUUUAGGUUUGUCAUAACAAAAGGGGUUGAAUACUGAUUGACUCAAGACAUUUUAUUCAUUUGUAAACAUUUCUAUAUAAAAAACAAACAUAUUUCCACUUUGACAUUAUGGGUUAUUGUGAUGUCAUUAUGGGGUAUUGUGUGUCGUCCAGUGACGAAAUCUCAAUUGAAUCCAUUUUAAAUUCCGUCUAACAGAACAGCAUGUGGAAGAGGUCAAGGGGUGUGAAUAUACACUGAGUAUAAAAAGCAUUGCUGAAUCCAGGUAAAAACCUAUGAUGCUUUUUAAUCGAACCGAAAUCCACUUUAAUCAAGUGUAGAUGAAGAGAAGGAUUCAGAUUAAAGAAGGAUUCUUGAGCCUCGGCGUAUCGGUGCCAUUCAGAAGGUGAACGGGCAAGACAAAAUAUUGAAUUGCCUUUGAACCGGGGUACGGUGUUAGGUGCCAGGCGCACCGGUUUGUGUCAAGAACUUCCAACGCUGCUGGGUUUUUCACGCUCAACCGUUUCCUGUUUGUAUCCAGAAUGGUCCACCAUCCAAAGGAGGUCCAACCAACUUGACACAACUGUGGGAAGCAUUGGAGUCAAACAUGGGCCAGCAUCCCUGUGGAACGUUUUCCACACUUUUUGUAGAGUCCAUGUCCUGACGAAUUGAGGCCGUUCUGAGGGCAAGAGGGGGGUGCAAUUGAAUGUUAGGAAGGUGUUCCUAAUGUUUUGUCCACUGUGUAUAUAGCAGGUUUGUGAGGUACAGGGACUGAGAAAGUGUUUGUUAAGCGAAUGAAUGAGUGUGUGUUGUAGUACUGAUGUGGUUGAUGAGCAUUCUGUUUACAUCUCAGUAUGAUAAGGAAUAGAUUGAAAACAGUUUAACACCAAACUACCCUCCACAGACACCAAACCACCCUCCACAUUGACACCAAACUACCCUCCACAGACACCAAACCACCCUCCACAUUGACACCAAACCACCCUCCACAUUGGCACCAAACUACCCUCCACAUUGACACCAAACCACCCUCCACAUUGACACCAAACCACUCUCCAUAGACACCAAACUACCCUCCACAUUGACACCAAACCACCCUCCACAUUGACACCAAACCACUCUCCAUUGACACCAAACCACUCUCCAUAGACACCAAACUACCCUCCACAUUGACACCAAACUACCCUCCACAGACACCAAACCACCCUCCGCAUUGACACCAAACCACCCUCCACAUAGACACCAAACCACCCUCCAUAGACACCAAACCACCCUCCACAUUGACACCAAACCACCCUCCACAGACACCAAACCACCCUCCACAUUGACACCAAACUACCCUCCACAUUGACACCAAACCACCCUCCACAUUGACACCAAACCACCCUCCACAUUGACACCAAACCACCCUCCACAUUGACACCAAACCACCCUCCACAUUGACACCAAACCACCCUCCAUAGACACCAAACCACCCUCCAUAGACACCAAACCACCCUCCACAUUGACACCAAACCACCCUCCACAUUGACACCAAACCACCCUCCACAUUGACACCAAACCACCCUCCACAUUGACACCAAACUACCCCCCACAUUGACACCAAACUACUCUCCAUAGACACCAAACCACUCUCCAUAGACACCAAACCACCCUCCACAUUGACACCAAACCACCCUCCACAUUGACACCAAACCACCCUCCACAUUGACACCAAACCACCCUCCACAUUGACACCAAACCACCCUCCACAUUGACACCAAACCACCCUCCACAUUGACACCAAACCACCCUCCAUAGACACCAAACCACCCUCCACAUUGACACCAAACCACCCUCCACAUUGACACCAAACCACCCUCCACAUUGACACCAAACCACCCUCCAUAGACAUCAAACCACCCUCCACAUUGACACCAAACCACCCUCCACAUUGACACCAAACCACCCUCCACAUUGACACCAAACCACCCUCCAUAGACACCAAACCACCCUCCACAUUGACACCAAACUACUCUCCACAUUGACACCAAACUACUCUCCACAUUGACACCAAACUACUCUCCAUAUUACAUGUCAGUACUUUACUUUGGUGCCAAAAUGGCAGCCGUUGUAAUUCUACAUGUGAAACCGUUUGCUGAAUCCUGUUGAAUCUAUCCCAGUAUCAGAAUGUCACCAGCAAGCCAGCCUUUACAGCACAGUGCUUUUCAACCGUAGAAAUAGAAUUACUAGAAUGGUCAUCCACAUUAGAGUCUAUGGGUAUGUGACGGGUGGUGCCGUGCCUUGAGUGUACCCAAUGGGGGGUGCAGUUCAAUUGCCAUUUUCUGAAGGUCUGUUAAACCAUUCCAGUGAUGUUGUAUUUCUUUUGUUUUUAACCUGGUACUUUACCUGAUCCUGUAUUUCAUAAGGUAACCUAGUGGUCACUUUCUAAAUGGGGGGGGGGGGUGAAUCCUAACUUUAACUUACAGUCUAAUUUUCAUUCAGUCUGUGAAAAUGUGACUUAAGUGGAGGUUGGUUAGGAUUUUCUUUCUGUGUUAAACUGCUUUGUGUCGUUACAUACUGUUUAACUGGAUGUUCCAUACAAGCUUUUUAAUCCAAAUAAACAUGUUUUAAUACUA